rnacentral:lncRNA from 1 species
UCGAUUUGGCAUGAUUGAUUCUCUGUCCUGAAGCAUUACAAUAAGUAUCCAAGAGGUUUGAAACCAUGGCAACUCCCUUAUCACUAGACUUGAACAAUAACAGGCUAUCAUGAGCAAAAAGGAGAUGGUUAAUAGCUAGGGUUGUCGGUGCCACCUUGAUCCCUUCCAGGACUGAUGAUUGAGAACAGGAUUUCAAAAGGCAUGAGAGGCUCUCUGUUGCGAUCAAGAAAAGAUGGGGGAGAUAGGAUCUCCCUCGCGGAUACCCCGUGUGGGCAUAAACUCUUCGAGUUUUUCUCCAUUAAACAAAACUGAAAAAGAUACUUAUCUUACCAUGC